AGAUCUUUGAAAAACGGUUCCUGUGAGCUAUAUUUUUGAAAAUACACAGCCCGCCUCUCCCUUCAGCCCUCCCCUCAAAGCCACGCCUUCAAAACACAUGAACGCGCAUGCAGUCUGUCAAGUGUUCGGAUUAUCCCGGGAACCCACGAGAGCUCACGAGGCGGGGGGGCGGGCUAGAAGCCACGACAAAGCGACUAGCCAAGCUAACUUCCAGCCAUGGCACUGUCUCCGGCUACGACCUUCCACGACCACGAGAGCUCCAGCUCUGACUUUCCUGGCCCAUCACAAUCAUAACGACCUAACAGCCCAGUAGGACCGAUGGCCAGAGAUGGAGGAGGAGGAAGAUAGACGCAGCAGAGGUCGGUUUGAUUAGGGAGACUCCAACAGAAUUGACGCCCUGCUAACUGCCUUGAUUCAAUCAUUGAAUUUGAAGCAAUCCCAUCGGUUACUGCAGCGUGCCCUGACCCGUGACCCCAGUUUGAUGUUCGACCUGGCACAUGACAUCUGGUCCUCAGUCACAGCCCAGUAGCACAACCAACCUGGCGCCUCUGCGCAAUCUGUAAGGAGAUGCCCAUGAACAUUGAAAGGAAAUGCUGUGGUGUUCUCAGUUUUGAUAAGACUUUGGGCUGAUGUAGGACCAGGUGAGAGAAACGGUCUCUUCAGGCAUGCAGCCUGCAGACAGUAUGGGGCACUUGAACAGGGCUGACCUUGUAAUACACAGUACAAUACCCAGGAUUAGCCAGGGUUACCCUGCUCCAAUAGAGCAAUAUAAAAGGUUUAUACAGAGUACGGUAUAAAACACACAAACCGGCAGUGUGCAGACUUUUAUUAUUUUUCAUUAUCUGUAGGAGCAUUCAUCUGUACAUCUCACCUUUUUGGUUUGGAACCACGUUUGUCUUGUUACCAUUGUUUUUUUCAUACAUAGAAAAUAAAUGCAACCUGUCAAAUGUUCUUCUGAUUGUGGUCUUGUGGAAUAUAUAAAUUAUGUAACCAUGCAUUUUCAGUCAGAGAAUGAAUUAAAAAAAAAGCCACACAGUCAAAUUGUGUCCACCAAUAUUUACUGUCAUUGAAAUGUAUGGACAAUUUAAACAAUGUAUUACACAUGACACUAGAUACAUUACUUUAUACUAUAUUUACAGUUGUCAUUACCACACAAAAACUCUGGGAAGGUGGGUAAGUGCAGCAACUGUGAAGGGCCUGGUUUGAGGUUGGAGGCAUACAUACAUAAGUAUGUGGUUGUGGAAGGACCCUGUCGGCUGUUGACCUGAGGGAAAAAAGAGCACAAAUUGCAUAUUAGCACAGAGCCCAUGCUUAGACCAUAGACAGAUAAAUCAUCUGGCACAAUCUGCAUGCAACCAACAGAACCUAGAAAGAGAAAGAUUAGCAGCAAUACACAAAGGGGACAAGUAUACAAAAACAUGCAAAGUGUUCUGAUAAGGUGCAUGGAGGUAGUCUGUGUUGAUUCCAGCAACCUCAAAGACUGAAAAGUGUCCCAGUGUGUUGAAUUGAAAACUUGGCGCGUGCGCGCGCACACAUAGGAAUAUCAUAAUUUAGUGCAGUGUUUCUCAACAGGGGUGCCGGGGCACCCUGGGGUGCCGUAGGGCCCCCUCAGGGGUGCCGCGGAAACGUGGCUGAUAAAUAAAUUAUAUAACAUAAAACAUAUUUGUCAAAAUUGAUAAGUUAAUGUUAGUCAGUGGAAUCUUUGAUCUGCCAUUUACGCACAAUAAAGUAAAUAUUGGUCACCCCAGCUGCAACUUUGAACGUAGGUCGUGCUACUAGGUUGUGUGUCUCCUAAUGUGUUACAUUCUAAGCUUGUGUGGUAUCGGAUGUGAUGCUAUAUGGCUACUUGGUUUGGGGUGCCUUGAAAUUUUCCAUGAAUUGAAAGGGUGCCUCGCCUAAAAAAAGGUUGAGAAACACUGAUUUAGUGUAUCAAUUACAACUACAGGAUCUGUUCGCUUUUGUCAGAUAGAACCAUUGUUUUUCAAAGGCAGAUCAUUCCAAAAAGGAUAGUAGUAUCUGCAACUGGACGAAAUUACACCCACAAACAUGAAUAAAAUAAACUACCAGUGUGCGGUGAUUCAUUCUUCAUUUACUUGGCAGCCUUGAUAUGUUGU